CCUACGGGAGGCAGCAGUGGGGAAUAUUGCACAAUGGGGGAAACCCUGAUGCAGCAACGCCGCGUGAAGGAAGACUGUUUUCGGAUUGUAAACUUCUGUUCUUAGUGAAGAAUAAUGACGUUAGCUAAGGAGCAAGCCACGGCUAAAUACGUGCCAGCAGCCGCGGGAAUACGUAGGUGGCAAGCGUUGUCCGGAAUUAAUGGGUGUAAAGGGGGCGCAGGCGGGAAGCCAAGUCAGCUGUGAAAACUACGGGCUUAACUUGUAAACUGCAGUUGAAACUGGUUUUCUUGAGUGAAGUAGAGGUUGGCGGAAUUCCGAGUGUAGCGGUGAAAUGCGUAGAUAUUCGGAGGAACACCGGUGGCGAAGGCGGCCAACUGGGCUUUAACUGACGCUGAGGCUCGAAAGUGUGGGGAGCGAACAGGAUUAGAUACCCCAGUAGUC
rnacentral:rRNA from 1 species